UACGUAGGUAGCAAGCGUUGUCCGGAUUUACUGGGCGUAAAGGGCGCGCAGGCGGUCGUUCAAGUCGCGUGUGAAAGCCCCCGGCUCAACUGGGGAGGGUCACGCGAUACUGAUCGACUCGAAGGCAGGAGAGGGUAGUGGAAUUCCCGGUGUAGUGGUGAAAUGCGUAGAUAUCGGGAGGAACACCAGUGGCGAAGGCGACUACCUGGCCUGUUCUUGACGCUGAGGCGCGAAAGCUAGGGGAGCAAACGGG
rnacentral:rRNA from 1 species